UAACUCUUCAAUUUUUCCUUUUUUCUUUUUAUACACCCGAUGCAAGCCAAGCAAGUAGCCAUCAGUUGUACGAACAAAGUGUUCUUCCAGAUCAUACCCAUGAAGUGCACAUAAAUCGAUGGUAUCUCUUGCAUCAGUUAAUUUAUUCGCGUUAUCAUCUACCAACAAUUCAGGCAAAAAGUACGAGUAUACUCUGCAAACCCCGAGGUUAGUAUCAGUGACAAUGGUAUAAGUAAUAGCUGACUCACUUUUUUGAUUGCUCAUAAAACCAAUUCCGAAGUGGACUAGGUAAAAUAACUGUACAUAUUCGAAACAUGCUCUCCAACGCAAUCAGUAAAAAACU